UGUAUGUGUGUGAGCGGAUGCGUGUAUGUGUGUGUGUGUGUGUGUGUGUGUGUGUGUAGCUGGGCGUGUUGGCGAUGUUUUUUAAUACACUUGGCAAGCAACGCUAUGCAGGCUUCGGCCUGCUCCAACAACGACCGAAGAAGACAAAGAACAGGGACCGCUCUUUAUAUUUGCACGGUUUCGCUCUCGCUCUCUCAUUUUCUCAGUUUUGGGCUCUCUCUCUCU